rnacentral:rRNA from 1 species
UACGAAGGGGCUAGCGUUGUUCGGAUUACUGGCGUAAAGCGCACGUAGGCGGAUCGUUAAGUCGGGUGAAUCCUGGAGCUCAACUCCAGAACUGCCUUCGAUACUGGCGAUCUUGAGUCCGGAAGAGGUGAGUGAACUCCUAGUGUAGAGGUGGAAUUCGUAGAUAUUAGGAAGAACACCAGUGCGAAGGCGGCUCACUGGUCCGGUACUGACGCUGAGGUGCGAAGCGUGAGCAACAG